GGGAGCCGGUGGAAUGGCUGUCCUGUAGCCUGGGGAUGCAAGUCCCCGGACCAAGGGAGGAAGGUCCCCCCACUCAAGCUUUUGGGAAAAGCUCAACCAAAAACGAGAAUUUCCCGAGGGCAUAUGCAGACGGCCUCGAGAGGGGCCGGGGACGUAGCAGAAACGCACCCGAACGGUGGAGCGAUGAUCUGAUGAGAGCGUCGAAACCGGGAAGGAUGAAACGGACGUCCCCCUGCUGGGUGCAAGGCCUGUGGCCGCUCAGAUAAAUGCCAUAUCAAUGGCCGAAAGCCAUUGACGAACUCAAGGGGGCCUACCACCGGGACCC
rnacentral:RNase_P_RNA from 1 species